rnacentral:rRNA from 1 species
UACGUAGGAUGCAAGCGUUGUUCGGAAUUACUGGGCGUAAAGAGUACGUAGGCGGUUUGAUAAGUCUGCUAUUAAAGACUGGAGCUUAACUCCAGGACUGUAGUGGAAACUGUCAGACUAGAGGACAAUAGAGGAAGUCGGAAUUCUCAGUGUAGCGGUGAAAUGCGUAGAUAUUGGGAAGAACACCAGUGGCGAAAGCGGACUUCUGGGUUGUUACUGACGCUGAGGUACGAAAGCAUGGGGAGCAAACGGG